rnacentral:rRNA from 1 species
AGCAGCCGCGGUAAUUCCAGCUCCAAUAGCGUAUAUUAAAGUUGUUGCAGUUAAAAAGCUCGUAGUUGAAUUUCGGGACCAAUAUGUUGGUCGUGCCUUUGGUACGUACUAGUUUAUUGGUUUCUUCCUUCUGACGAACCACGAUGUCAUUAAUUUGGUGUCAUGGGGAAUCAGGACUGUUACUUUGAAAAAAUUAGAGUGUUUAAAGCAGGCUUC